rnacentral:rRNA from 1 species
AUGGCGGCGCUCUACCUCGUGGCGACGAGGCUUUGCGACCUCGUGCUCGGGACAUCAACGAUACCUCUUCUCUCCUACCUUCGACCCCUCUUGCUGCUACAAAUGUUACUAUUUCCGAUUUGGGGUCUUCUCGAGCCAACCGCUGUCGAGAUGAACGUCGAUGAUGUGGCUCUGGAGGUCUUCAACAGUCUUCGGAACAAUCCAACCGAGGGUGAUAAAGAUUUAACCCUUGCUGAAGUGACCAGAAUUUUCGAGGCUUUGUCUGAGGUGCAGAAUAGAGAUGGUGCCGCUACAAGCAAUAUUGCCUCCUUGCACUAA